ACCUUCAACAUUUCAAAAGUAAAGAAAGCGCGUAAACUCAUUUUUCUUUCAAAUAAUGAUUUUUCUAGACGAAAAUGAUUUUUUAUUUCAAACUUCAUUUCACACAUUAUCAUCCACCAUAAUUAAGGUAUGAAGUUUGUUUGUUACCUGAAACCACGAUCGAAGCAAUGCAUAAAAUUGUUAAAAUUAAAAAGAGACACUUAAUAUUGGUGGCCAUUUCGCAGUAUGAUAGGUUGAUUAACCACUCUACCGGCACCUUCUACGCCGGAGGCUUCACCGGUUCUCACCUCUGCUAAAAACUCAUGUCUGAAACCUCUUAUCGUUUUUGACAUUUACAACAACAUAAUCAAACACCUCUUAGAACCUGAAUCAAUUUCUUUGAUGGUCGCAUUCACCUCCACCGUCUCAAUAUCAAGAACGAUUCGCGAUUCAAUGUCUCCCAAGAUAGCAGAUCUGGGAUGGUGGAAUAACCACACAACUUGACACCGCCUCUAAAACGUGGUCGUAAUCGUUGUAACUGCUUCAAGGAAAACAGCUCCAACAAAGACCAUUUGCAUCUCUCUGGCACCGCAACUGAAUCAGUCACCGAUUCCGACUCAAGGUGCAGGAAGAAUGACACAUAUGUUGUGAGGACUUGGUCAUCCUUUUGAGUGUGUUUAAAUCUAUGGCGUUGGAGCAGACUCUAAUGCAACCAUGCUAAAAUAUAUAGGUUCAAAAACACAUGAACAAUGAUGGCUCAUAAGGAUUACAGUGAGCGGAAAUUGUGGAAUCCUUUAUUUCUUGCUAUUCAAAAAUGGGAUUGCAGCUGGCGUGGCAACGUAACAAAAGUUGUGUCGUAAGAGUUGGAGGGUGUCUGUUUAUAUGGUUUGAUAAUUGUGAAGUAGAAUUUAAAAUUCAAAGAUGUCUAUAAGUAUUCUACUUUUUGUUCUCAUUAAACAUUAUAAAUGCAUCGACACUUGGGUUUGACUUAUAUUUUCUUGACAGAUUAAUUGAAUAUUUACUUAUGUUCUUUUUAAAGAUUCUUUAGAUCUGCAACUUGUUACCGAAUUGCAUAAGAUUAUCAUUGAACUGCGAGUUAAAUAUAGAACAUAUUGCAUGGAGUUUGAUGCUCAUUAUGGUUAUGUGAAAAGGAUCGAUGGUAUAUGUUUUUUGACAAAAGGAUGACGUGUUCUUCGUGAUUUCUAUAACAUUGAUCUCGGUGCUUGGGUGAUCAUAUUUUACAUAUAUCUCACCCGUACGAUGCACGGGUGUGUGAUCUAAGGACAUAAAAUAUUGAAUCAUUUUGUCUUCGAUGUAAUAGAUCAUAUUGCAAUAUAUCAGCUUCUCCAAUGUUAAUGUCCAGGGCGGUAGCACGGGGUAAAAUUACUAGUUAAAGCUUAACCCCCCUGCAUACUUUAACCCUAAUUUUAACCUAACUUUUUCCCUCCCAUUCCAACGCAAUAAAUUCGCAGAUUUGACCUACUCACCCCUUUGUCACGCAAUAAAUGUCAUUCAUUUCAAAUUUAAUUGUUUGACCUUCUCAUUUAAAUGUCCUUAAAGCAUUUCGAAUUCUCACAUUUAACCUUCUCACUCCUUUGUCAUUCAUUAAAUGCAUCUUUGCCAUUCAUAUCAAAUCUGAAAAUUUUCUCCUCAUUUAAAUGCAAUUGUUUGACCUUCUUAUUUAAGAUCAAUCUUUUAAAUUAUCCUUUGCCACACAAUAAAUUCUAACAUUUGACAUUCUCACCAAUUUGUCACGCAAUAAAUGUCGUUCAUUUCAAAAUUUGAAUAUUCCCUCAUGAUUUAAAUGCAAUUGUUUGACCUUCUCAUUUAAGAUAAAUCUCUUAAUUGCUCCUUUGCCAUUCAUUUCAAAUUCGAAAAUUUCCUCCCCGAUUAAAUGCAUUUGUUUAACCUUCUCGUUUAUGAUCAAUCUCUUAAAUGCUCAUUUGGCACACAUUAAAUGUUCCUUUGUCAUUCAUUUCAAAUUUGAAAAUUCUCUCAUCAUUUAAAGACAAUCGUUUGAACUUCUCAUUUAAGAGGAAUAGUGCCUCUUAAAUCAACAUCAAAGUGUUUAUUGUUUGACCUUCUCAUUUAAUAAUCUUGCCUUUUUCAAACAAAUUCGUCACACAUACUGUUCAAACAUGGCUGGUCGUCCAGUUCAAGCGUUGCUUUCCUAUCAUUGCCUAACUGAUAUAAAUAUUGUUUCUAGCUUUUACAUAUGUUUUGUCCUACACUCUUUCGAAUCAAAUUUGGUGAAAAUCGGACUUGGGGGGAGAUUUUUCGAAUUUUGGAUGUUUUGGAAAAGUGAAGUGUUUUGUCUCUGUUGCUGUCAUAUACACUUAAGUCACGCAGAACCUAUAAGGUGCGGUAGUUAACUAACGCUGCUUCAGUUAACUAGCGCAGAGGUAUACUUAUCAUUCCAGUUGAGUACGAGCAAAAUAUGCUGGAAGAAGAGCAGAAUUCUAAAAAAAAUUGGUCCAAGUUAGGUGGUCGAAACUAAAAGGACCAGUGUUGGAGAAAAUAUUGUAGGAAGUAGGAACUGUGUUGUAGAAAAUAUUGAAAAGAGACAACUAGUAACAUUGAUCCUUCUUUUUGCAUUCACUUGUGGUGAAACGAUUGAAAAAACGUCAAAGGGAGCUAGACUGCGUGGGUCUGUUCCUGCCAAAUUCAAUAUCAUAAUGUUUAGUACUACUCCCUCCGUCCCUUA